rnacentral:rRNA from 1 species
CUGGGUGGAUUAGUGGCGAACGGGUGAGUAACACGUGGGUGAUCUGCCCUGCACUUCGGGAUAAGCCUGGGAAACUGGGUCUAAUACCGGAUAGGACCUCGGGAUGCAUGUUCCGGGGUGGAAAGGUUUUCCGGUGCAGGAUGGGCCCGCGGCCUAUCAGCUUGUUGGUGGGGUAACGGCCCACCAAGGCGACGACGGGUAGCCGGCCUGAGAGGGCGACCGGCCACACUGGGACUGAGACACGGCCCAGACUCCUACGGGAGGCAGCAGUGGGGAAUAUUGCACAAUGGGCGCAAGCCUGAUGCAGCGACGCCGCGUGAGGGAUGACGGCCUUCGGGUUGUAAACCUCUUUCAGUACCGACGAAGCGCAAGUGACGGUAGGUACAGAAGAAGCACCGGCCAACUACGUGCCAGCAGCCGCGGUAAUACGUAGGGUGCGAGCGUUGUCCGGAAUUACUGGGCGUAAAGAGCUCGUAGGCGGUUUGUCGCGUCGUCUGUGAAAACCCGCAGCUCAACUGCGGGCUUGCAGGCGAUACGGGCAGACUUGAGUACUGCAGGGGAGACUGGAAUUCCUGGUGUAGCGGUGAAAUGCGCAGAUAUCAGGAGGAACACCGGUGGCGAAGGCGGGUCUCUGGGCAGUAACUGACGCUGAGGAGCGAA